GGUCAUAAUAUCUGGAAUGAUUUAUGGUUUAAAUCUAUAUGGCCUCUGGAUUGGACUGCGGCCGAUCAGGCUGUUGGUGAGGUAAUGGCCCACCAAACCUAAAACCGGUACGGGCUCUGAGAGGAGAAGCCCGGAGAUGGGCACUGAGACAAGGGCCCAGGCCCUAUGGGGCGCAGCAGGCGCGAAAACUCUGCAAUAAGCGAAAGCUUGACAGGGUUAUUCUGAGUGAUUUCCGCUAAGGAAAUCUUUUGGCACCUCUAAAAAUGGUGCAGAAUAAGGGGUGGGCAAGCCUGGUGUCAGCCGCCGCGGUAAUACCAGCACCCCGAGUGGUCGGGACGAUUAUUGGGCCUAAAGCAUCCGUAGCCGGUUCUACAAGUCUUCCGUUAAAUCCACCUGCUUAACAGAUGGGCUGCGGAGGAUACUAUGGAGCUAGGAGGCGGGAGAGGCAAGCGGUACUUAGUGGGUAGGGGUAAAAUCCGUUGAUCCAUUGAAGACCACCAGUGGCGAAGGCGGCUUGCCAGAACGCACUCGACGGUGAGGGAUGAAAGCUGGGGGAGCAAACCGGAUUAGAUACCCGGGUAGUCCCAGCUGUAAACGAUGCAGACUCGGUGAUGAAUAGGCUUCGUGCCUAUUCAGUGCC
rnacentral:rRNA from 1 species